rnacentral:rRNA from 1 species
AGACGGAGGGCGCAAGCGUUGUUCGGAAUUACUGGGCGUAAAGCGCUCGUAGGCGGCUUGUUAAGUCGGAUGUGAAAUCCCCGGGCUCAACCUGGGAACUGCAUUCGAUACUGGCAAGCUAGAGUAUAGUAGAGGCAAGUGGAAUUCCGGGUGUAGCGGUGAAAUGCGUAGAUAUCCGGAGGAACAUCAGUGGCGAAGGCGACUUGCUGGACUAAUACUGACGCUGAGGAGCGAAAGCGUGGGGAGCAAACGGGAUUAGAAACCCCAGUAGUCC